CCUACGGGACGCAGCAGUGGGGAAUAUUGCACAAUGGGGGAAACCCUGAUGCAGCGACGCCGCGUGAGUGAAGAAGUAUUUCGGUAUGUAAAGCUCUAUCAGCAGGGAAGAUAAUGACGGUACCUGACUAAUAAGCCCCGGCUAACUACGUGCCAGCAGCCGCGGUAAUACGUAGGGGGCAAGCGUUAUCCGGAUUUACUGGGCGUAAAGGGAGCGUAGGCGGCAGGGCAAGUCAGAUGUGAAAACCCGUGGCUCAACU
rnacentral:rRNA from 1 species